AUGAAGUCUCUGCUAAAAUCUUUCCAGGGGUUUUCUCAGGCUCUGCUUUUCCUCAACAGUCUGACAGUGGAGAGAGCAAAUUCCCUACAGGAUCCCAGACAAACGAAGCAGCUUCUUGAUUCAUUGGAGACCCUGAGGAGGUGCAUCUCCAUGCUGCACACGGCCAUGUGCACAACCAUCAAACACCCUACAAGCGAGCAGGCACAGGCAGCCAAGAGAUACAUUCUGGACAAGGUGCAGAGCACUGUGAGUGACAUUAUUAAAAUACUGAAAAGUGAAUGCCACAGUGGAUCACUGGGUCCUUGUGGAUAUUACACAUGGAGGAGGAACAGUCUGCUUCAACUACUUACCAACUCCUCCACCUCCUCAAUCCGAGACAGUGGCUUUGACAGUGUGGUAAGAGAUCUUGUGUUUCACUGUAUGGUUGUGGCAAACUCUUCUCGUAAAGAAUUUCAGCAAAGAGUGGUGAGUCAUUGUCGUCACAUCCUGCAGUUCUGGUCAGACGUAAAAAGGAUUUUGAAGUCCUCAGAGGAUCCUGAUGAUUCUGAGCAGAGUCUUGAGAAGACCUGCACUUUGUUGGUGCAGCAAAUACAAAUGCUUGACAAAGCUUUGAUGACUACUGUGUUUUAUCAAGUCUUGGACACAUUUUUAACAGCAUCUUCUACAGUUGACGAACUUUUAAGUGUGAUGAGACAGAUCCUGGUUGCGCAUUCUUCUACAAAGAUGGAUCUGAACUUUAUUCAGCCCCUAGUUGAGGAUUUCAUUUCUUCCACUGAUGAAAUAAUCCAAGUUGCAAAUUUUAUCUCAGCUGUGGCCGUUGAUGCAAAGAGUUUGGAGAACGUGGAGAACUCACGAGCAUGCCUUACAAGACUCAGAGCUCGAAUUGCACCUCUUUCACUGGAGCUGGCGGAUGAUUCAAUGCAAACUGUUCAAAAGCUUCAUGAGGUGUGUCAAAAAUGGCAGGAAGAGACUGGUCAGCUUCAGGAUGCUCUCAGUGAUGUAAUGGAUGUGAGGGAGUUCACCAGUAUUGCUAUUAAUGAGAUGGUCAAUGACCGGCAUGGAUGUGACGCAGCAUACAGAGAGCAAAGCUAUAGAUUGUUUAAUGAACAUGCAACAAACCUCAUGUGUCACAUGAAGCUGGUGAUUCAGUCAGUGAGGAGGCACUUGGACAGAAGUGAUAACCCCAUCUACAGGAAUGGCCUCCUGGUGCUGCUGAAACAGGUUCAGUCAUCUCAAACCAAAGUGUGUGAGUCAGUCAGAGACAUGCUUUUAGGUUCCAGUCUAAAUGUGGAGGUAUAUACUACUUUUUCAGAUAAUGUUUCCAUGGCUAUUCAGCAUUUUAAAGUGCUCAGAAGGGGACUGGAUGGCCAACAGCAUCCACAUCUCCUUAGCCCGCUUCGAGAGGGGGCACGUCAGCCUGAAAUCGACACCUGUGAACUGAAACUGGAUCAUGUGAGAAGAGGCUUGGAUUCUCCUGUUUUUGAGGUUGUGGAGAGGGAUUCCCAAAUCGAACAUGAGGAAGAGCACUCAGAUGAGGAAACCAUAGAAGUAGAACUGGCUCGUAAAUAUGACAGCGCUGAUUUAAAGAUCCCAGCUGUCUCCGAUGAACCCAGACUGAUCCACAAGCCUCUUGAAUUUGACCUUUUACCCCUCUUGUAUGAAGUUGUGACUGUGACUAAAGGAAAAGAUGUGACAGCUCUCAACCAGGCCUGCACUGGUGUUCUUGAGCUGUCAAACUGUUACGCUCAAGCUGCAAAGGAAGCCUUGGCCAUUGUUGAUGCAGUUGAUCAUCAGACGUUGGAAAGUUUCAGAGCAGAGCUGGUGUCAUUGACUCCGCUGCUCGUCCAGACAGCUCAAGAGACGGCAAUGAGCUCAGGGAGGAGCACAGAGAGCCUCUACAAACACAGCACACAGUUUUCUGACCUGAUUAACAACACCAGAAAGGUUUUACUGCCGGUGGCUGGAACCUGGUAUCAUGCUGUUUACACUGAGCUGCAAGCUCAUCUGCCAACAAUGGCAGCCACUGCUAUGCAGCAACUAAAUGAAGUGAUGACUUUGUGUGCUGACAUGGUCCAGCUCUUGACAUCGUCUGAUUUAACCUCACAAAGUGAUGGUCAAGAAACAUUCAGCGUUUUACAUAACAAGCUGAAUAAAGCCCAGAACAACACAAGGUGUCUGGUAGAGUUUUCUAUCUCAUUUAAAGGAGAGGUAGACCAACUAGAGGGACUCUGUAUCCUCUGGGGCCUCUCUAUUCAGAUUUUGCUAAAUUCUCUUGAUAAGAUUUUGGGAACAUCAACUGCAGUGAACCAGUUGGGCCCUCAGAAACAGCUAUCAGUCCUGUCUGAGAACUCGCUUCGAAUCCAGGAGGCAGCUAGGCUAACCAGCUUAAACUGUAAAAGUCCUUACAAAUCAAAACAGUUAACAGGACACCAGGAUGAACUGAAAACACUGACUGAAGCCUACCUUAAAGCUGCCGAAGAGCUUGACAUAAUGCCAAGUGUGAUGCAACUUGCAAAGUCGGAAUUCUUUCUGAGACGUCUUUUGAUUAAAAUUAGAGUGCUCUCUGGUCAUUUAAGCAAAGCAAACAAGGAUUAUGACACUGCACUUCAAAAUAUUGUGAAAAUUGCCUAUUUUGCUGCAGGGAACUUUAGGGAGAACAACACAGAAGAUUCAGAGCAGAAAUUUGAAAACACAGCAGAAACACUUUUUGAAAAUGUAAAACUUGCAACCAAACGAGUCGAGGACUCCUUAAACUACAUCCGUGACCCACGUGCUCGUUCUAAUCUGAGGUCCAUCAACGACCACCUGUCUUUUCAGAUCUCAGACAUAAUUAGCAGGGCGAGGCUCAUGGUAGAGACUCACUACAUUUGUGACACACUCAGUCUGGAUGUGCAGAUCCAGUGCUGGUCAGCCAAAGCUCACUAUGUGGUGGUGGAGAUCAGAAAGCAAGAUGGGAUUCACCAAGAGGCUAAAGAGCACAUCAGGACUGGUCUGCAGGGCCAAACACCAGACAAUAUCAAAGAAGUGUUGGCGACAAUCCCAUCUAAAGUAAAAGAAGUAGAAUUUCCCUCCGACACAACAACAACAUCCUGGCAGAGAGGCAAUACAGAAAGUGUAGAUGCUGCAGAGCCAAAUAUAAACAUGGCUAGUGUGGCCAACUAUGGAUCUGGACAUAUGGAAAAACAUGUAGGUAUGUCAUGA
ensembl:lncRNA